UACGAAGGGGGCGAGCGUUGUUCGGAAUCACUGGGCGUAAAGGGCGCGUAGGCGGCCCUCUUUGUCGCGUGUGAAAGCCCCGGGCUCAACCUGGGAACGGCGCGCGAAACGGGGGGGCUGGAGUUCGGGAGAGGAGAGUGGAAUUCCCAGUGUAGAGGUGAAAUUCGUAGAUAUUGGGAAGAACACCGGUGGCGAAGUCGGCUCUCUGGACCGAGACUGACGCUGAGGCGCGAAAGCGUGGGGAGCAAACAGG
rnacentral:rRNA from 1 species